GUACAUCUAAGAGCGAAUUGAGGCCAUGUGGCUAGAAAUGGACCUGCAAAUGAAACUCCGAAUAUCCUUGGCUGGUGAGUUCUAUCAUACACCUCUGGUUCAA